UACAGAGGUCUCAAGCGUUGUUCGGAUUCAUUGGGCGUAAAGGGUGUGUAGGUGGCGCGGUAAGUCGGGUGUGAAAUCUUGGAGCUUAACUCCGAAACUGCAUUCGAUACUGCGGUGCUUGAGGACUGGAGAGGAGACUGGAAUUCAUGGUGUAGCAGUGAAAUGCGUAGAGAUCAUGAGGAAGACCAGUGGCGAAGGCGGGUCUCUGGACAGUUCCUGACACUGAGACACGAAGGCCAGGGGAGCAAACGGG
rnacentral:rRNA from 1 species